AGGCGACCACUGUCUCGAGGAGGAUGCCUGGCCGAGGGUUCGCUAUGGGUCAACACUGCUCUCGGCACUUUUCAGGCCCCGCUCCUGUGAUCGUCAGCACGACCCUGCAAGACGGACGUCGGCCCUGUCUUGAUUCUACAGCCGAUGGAGCUGGGGUGCAGGACCACAGCUCAAGGUGGUAACAGCUGUGGCCACUCCAGCAGGUGGGAUGACAAAGACCUAAGUCCACGCCAGGGAAACCAGGGUGACAAUCUUAGGCAGUGGCUGUGCUGGGGCAGAAAACAUCCCCUGACCCACGAGGAGGCACCCAGGACCCCAGCAGCACCCACAGCACCUGCUCCCUCAUCAUGGGGAGACGCUGUAGGGGCAGACACAAGAGGCAAAUCAAGGAAACAGCCUUACCGUCUGACCUGCAGAGAGCAUGUCUGGACCCCGCUCCGGGGUCCACUGCUGGGACUUGGACACAGAGCAGAGGGAGCGAUCACGGCUGAGACAGAAAGGCCACAGAAUGCAGGGGCCAGGAGACCUUCGGGGUGCUCACACCUGUCCUGUGGCAAACGGAGACCUAUGUCCAUCUUCCAUCCCAAGCCCUUACGUGAGUGAGGUGACCAUCAGGUGCUCGUGGGGACGGCCUUCUGUGGCCCAAGUCAGGAAGGUUUGGAGGAGCAACGUGGAGGGAAGGAGAUUGGUUUGAGCUGAGGGAUGUGCGGCUGGGCAUGAGGGGAGAGUCAGACAAAGACGACCCCAUCCUGGGCUGGCCUGCUCCGUGCUGUGCGUUCUGAAGCUCGGACUUCCUUCCAGCCUUCCUCUAGAUCUCCCAUCCCCGGUGACAGCACACACCAAAGAGCAUUUCUCAGAUGACCGCAGUGCAGGCCUCUCGUUGCAUUAAGUAAAUUUUUGAUGCUGCGGUGACACUUAGAAAAAGUGAGAUUCUAAGUCAGAGAAGGUGGACGAUGGCUGUUGUCUUCGGGAAGGGUGUGGCAAAUAACUUCCUCUGGGUCA